AUACAUCUAACCAGUUUUUUGCACAGUCUGAACUUGGUGUGUUGGGAGCUAACAUCAAAGAACUAUUUUCCCCCAUUCACAUGAGGACUGUGUCAAAUCUGCCUCCCAUCACUUAAGGAUGUUUUGGGAAAAUCAUUCACUUUCAUUUCUAUCACUUCCAGUAACUUAACAGUAUGGCUCAGAUGUAAAACUCCCCUUUUACUUGUUCCUGUCACUUCAGCCCAAGCUUGUCUCAUGAUCUAAAAAUCUGUAAUAGGGAAGAGGGUGUGGUCUGAUCUUUCCCCUUCUAUUUUACCUCAUCUAGUUCCAGCUUCUCAAAUCAUAUAGGGCCAAGAGGAGAGGACCAAAUUAUAUCUUAGUUACCUGGCUGCUGGUGGUUGUCUCUGUUUUUUGUAGAGCACAGGUGUAAUGGCUUUCAGGGUGGGGGUGGGGAACUCUCCACUGAGUAGUGUGCUGAUGUGGGAGAUCUCUGGCUUGGCCUCUUCCGGCCCUCCUCCCACUCAGCUCCCACCAAUGAUGUAUCAAUAAAACCUCUUGCUGCUGGGAUCUGCUUACCUGGUGGCCAGGGUGGCAAGACAAGUGAAGCUUGACUAUGCAGCGUCCACUGUGGAAACUACUACAUCUUUGCCAUGCCAAACACUUCCGCUUUUUCAGUGAAGUCCAUUGGGACAAUGGAGCAUGCAGGUGAGAAGGGAAGAUACGUGUAAUCUGCACGUCUGCCACCAUUCCUUGUUACUCCUUUUUCGUAUCCCAUGAGCACAGCACUCCAGCGGACCUACCCAAAAUAUAUAGGAGUUCAGUGAAACUCAAACAGCACACUUCUGGUCAGCCUAUACAGUUUCUGUCCUGGUGAGGAGCAUGGUUACCAACAGGCAAGAUCUUCUGGCCUUGAAGUUUCACUUGAGUUAAAAGAGCUCAUCUCAGGACUUUCUGAAUUUUCAGCCCAUAUGACAUGGAAGAAGAGUUAGAAGGGGAAUCUGACUGCUUGGAUCAGGGACUGUCUGGCUGGUGGAACUUGAAUGUAUACAACACUCUUCAUUUGCAUGUUUUGACAUUUUAAAAAAUGUUUUCACUUUCCUUAUCUACUUUGACUCUAAUGACAUCCUAAAAGGUAAGUAGAAUUAUUCUCAUAAUAUGAUGAAGAACCCAAGGCUCUCAAGGGAACACCACUCUUGGAUUAUUUAGCCCUGCUCUUCUACAAGAAUUGCAUACCCCAACCCCUGGAGCCCUCCCCAUAUCCAUGUUUCUGCCUUAUAAUCUGAUCCUUUCACCAAAAAUGUUUAGAUCAGGUACACAUACCUGAACUAAAUUGGGACUAUCAGUUUCUCUCUCUUUAAAUUGCCCUGAGAAUUGAAACUCAGAGGAGCAAAAGUCUAAGUUUUGAGAGAUAAC
rnacentral:antisense_RNA from 1 species